rnacentral:rRNA from 1 species
UAGGGAAUUUUCCGCCAUGGACGAAAGUCUGUAUGGAGCAACGCCGCGUUAACUAUGAAGGUCUUCGGAUUGUAAAGUUCUGUUGUCAGGGACGAACACGUACCGUUCGAACAGGCCGGUGCCUUGACGGUACCUG